rnacentral:rRNA from 1 species
CAACAACGGAUYUCUUGGUUCUGGCAUCGAUGAAGAACGCAGCGAAAUGCGAUAAGUAAUGUGAAUUGCAGAAUUCAGUGAAUCAUCGAAUCUUUGAACGCACAUUGCGCCCCUYGGACUUCCGGGGGGCAUGCCUGUUCGAGCGUCAUUGCMCC